UCCGCAAUGGACGAAAGUCUGACGGAGCAACGCCGCGUGAGUGAUGAAGGUUUUCGGAUCGUAAAGCUCUGUUGUUAGGGAAGAACAAGUGCCGUUCAAAUAGGGCGGCACCUUGACGGUACCUAACCAGAAAGCCACGGCUAACUACGUGCCAGCAGCCGCGGUAAUACGUAGGUGGCAAGCGUUGUCCGGAAGUAUUGGGCGUAAAGGGCUCGCAGGCGGUUUCUUAAGUCUGAUGUGAAAGCCCCCGGCUCAACCGGGGAGGGUCAUUGGAAACUGGGGAACUUGAGUGCAGAAGAGGAGAGUGGAAUUCCACGUGUA
rnacentral:rRNA from 1 species